UACGUAGGUGGCGAGCGUUGUCCGGAUUUACUGGGCGUAAAGGGAGCGUAGGCGGAUUUUUAAGUGAGAUGUGAAAUACUCGGGCUCAACUUGAGUGCUGCAUUUCAAACUGGAAGUCUAGAGUGCAGGAGAGGAGAAUGGAAUUCCUAGUGUAGCGGUGAAAUGCGUAGAGAUUAGGAAGAACACCAGUGGCGAAGGCGAUUCUCUGGUCUGUAACUGACACUGAGGCUCGAAAGCGUGGGGAGCAAACAGG
rnacentral:rRNA from 1 species